rnacentral:rRNA from 1 species
AUUGAACGCUGGCGGCAGGCUUAACACAUGCAAGUCGAGCGGGGGAAGGUAGCUUGCUACCGGACCUAGCGGCGGACGGGUGAGUAAUGCUUAGGAAUCUGCCUAUUAGUGGGGGACAACAUCUCGAAAGGGAUGCUAAUACCGCAUACGUCCUACGGGAGAAAGCAGGGGAUCUUCGGACCUAGCGCUAAUAGAUGAGCCUAAGUCGGAUUAGCUAGUUGGUGGGGGAAAGGCCUACCAAGGCGACGAUCUGUAGCGGGUCUGAGAGGAUGGUCCGCCACACUGGGACUGAGACACGGCCCAGACUGCUACGGGAGGCAGCAGUGGGGAAUAUUGGACAAGGGGGGGAACCCUGAUCCAGCCAUGCCGCGUGUGUGAAGAAGGCCUUAUGGUUGUAAAGCACUUUAAGCGAGGAGGAGGCUACUUUAGUUAAUACCUAGAGAUAGUGGACGUUACUCGCAGAAUAAGCACCGGCUAACUCUGUGCCAGCAGCCGCCGUAA